rnacentral:rRNA from 1 species
UACCAGCUCUCCGAGUGGUAGGGAUGAUUAUUGGGCUUAAGGCGUCCGUAGCCGGCUUAGCAAGUUUCCUGUUAAAUUCAGCGACCUAAUCGUUGAGCCGCGGGAAAUACUACUAGGCUAGGAGGCGGGAGAGGUCGACGGUACUUCUGGGGUAGGGGUGAAAUCCUAUAAUCCCGGGAGGACCACCAGUGGCGAAGGCUGUCGACUAGAACGCGCUCGACGGUGAGGGACGAAAGCUGGGGGAGCGAACCGGAUUAGAUACCCGGGUAGUCCCAGCUGUAAACGAUGCGGGCUAGGUGUUGGGGUGGCUACGUGCCACUUCAGUGCCGCAGGGAAGCCAUUAAGCCCGCCGCCUGGGGAGUACGGCCGCAAGGCUGAAACUUAAAGGAAUUGGCGGGGGAGCACCACAAGGCGUGAAGCUUGCGGUUC